UCUAUUUGCGAGCUGACCAAUUAUGCUAACCAUUAACUGUUUUUCAAGAAUUACUCGUAUCUGCCCUGAAGUUGCUUAGUGGGUUUAGCUAAUAAUUGUAUGCUUUCUUUUAGUAAUGACAAACUGUCGAGGAUUUCACAUGGACGACUUGGCGGAUGUAAGAGUAAGGUCCUGUCUACAGGCCAUUGUCUUUUUGAAAUCACCACCUGUUGUUAAGCCUACUUUCAAAGGAUUUGUCAAGGAACUCCCUAGUGGCUUGCUCUAAUAGGUGCCUCCAUGACACUGUGGCAUGUCACCAAUGGAGGGACAAGUCUGCACAUGAUGUCUGCUCUGCGGAGCCCUGACCCACUGUGCUACUUUACCUGUGACAGCACUUCUGCCCGGCUCUUCUAAAGCUGUCCGACUUCCUGAACUGCUUAAUCAGAGACACUUCCUCUAUGUAACAGUGAACUAGUCCCCAGUGACCAGAAUGUAUUCGCAAUGCCUGCCUAUUUAAUGUGAUUACACUGUGUUUAACCCUCUCA